rnacentral:rRNA from 1 species
GGCGGACGGGUAAGUAACGCGUAAGAACUUGCCCUUUAGACUGGGAUAACAGAGGGAAACUUCUGAUAAUACUGGAUAAGUUAGUAUAUCGCAUGAUAUGCAAAUGAAAGCUACGGCACUAAAGGAGAGUUUUGCGUCCUAUUAGCUAGUUGGUAAGGUAAGAGCUUACCAAGGCGAUGAUAGGUAGCCGGCCUGAGAGGGUGGACGGCCACAAGGGGACUGAGAUACGGCCCUUACUCCUACGGGAGGCAGCAGCG